rnacentral:rRNA from 1 species
AUUGAACGCUGGCGGCAUGCCUUACACAUGCAAGUCGAACGGCAGCACGGGAGCAAUCCUGGUGGCGAGUGGCGAACGGGUGAGUAAUAUAUCGGAACGUGCCCAGUCGUGGGGGAUAACUACUCGAAAGAGUGGCUAAUACCGCAUACGAUCUCUGGAUGAAAGCGGGGGACCUUCGGGCCUCGCGCGAUUGGAGCGGCCGAUAUCAGAUUAGGUAGUUGGUAGGGUAAAAGCCUACCAAGCCUGCGAUCUGUAGCUGGUCUGAGAGGACGACCAGCCACACUGGAACUGAGACACGGUCCAGACUCCUACGGGAGGCAGCAGUGGGGAAUUUUGGACAAUGGGCGCAAGCCUGAUCCAGCCAUGCCGCGUGCGGGAAGAAGGGCCUUC